GUUAGCGGCGGACGGGUGAGUAACACGUGGGCAACCUGCCUGUAAGACUGGGAUAACUUCGGGAAACCGAAGCUAAUACCGGAUAGGAUCUUCUCCUUCAUGGGAGAUGAUUGAAAGAUGGUUUCGGCUAUCACUUACAGAUGGGCCCGCGGUGCAUUAGCUAGUUGGUGAGGUAACGGCUCACCAAGGCAACGAUGCAUAGCCGACCUGAGAGGGUGAUCGGCCACACUGGGACUGAGACACGGCCCAGACUCCUACGGGAGGCAGCAGUAGGGAAUCUUCCGCAAUGGACGAAAGUCUGACGGAGCAACGCCGCGUGAGUGAUGAAGGCUUUCGGGUCGUAAAACUCUGUUGUUAGGGAAGAACAAGUACAAGAGUAACUGCUUGUACCUUGACGGUACCUAACCAGAAAGCCACGGCUAACUACGUGCCAGCAGCCGCGGUAAUACGUAGGUGGCAAGCGUUAUCCGGAAUUAUUGGGCGUAAAGCGCGCGCAGGCGGUUUCUUAAGUCUGAUGUGAAAGCCCACGGCUCAACCGUGGAGGGUCAUUGGAAACUGGGGAACUUGAGUGCAGAAGAGAAAAGCGGAAUUCCACGUGUAGCGGUGAAAUGCGUAGAGAUGUGGAGGAACACCAGUGGCGAAGGCGGCUUUUUGGUCUGUAACUGACGCUGANGCGCGAAAGCGUGNGGAGCAAACAG
rnacentral:rRNA from 2 species